rnacentral:rRNA from 1 species
AAGCUUGGGCGAGAGUAGUACUAGGAUGGGUGACCUCCUGGGAAGUCCUCGUGUUGCACCCC